UGGGGAAUAUUGCACAAUGGGCGAAAGCCUGAUGCAGCGACGCCGCGUGCGGGAUGACGGCCUUCGGGUUGUAAACCGCUUUCAGCUCUGACGAAGCUUUUGUGACGGUAGGAGCAGAAGAAGCACCGGCUAACUACGUGCCAGCAGCCGCGGUAAUACGUAGGGUGCGAGCGUUGUCCGGAAUUAUUGGGCGUAAAGAGCUUGUAGGCGGCUUGUCGCGUCUGCUGUGAAAUCCCGGGGCUUAACCCCGGGCUUGCAGUGGGUACGGGCAGGCUAGAGUGUGGUAGGGGAGACUGGAAUUCCUGGUGUAGCGGUGGAAUGCGCAGAUAUCAGGAGGAACACCGAUGGCGAAGGCAGGUCUCUGGGCCAUUACUGACGCUGAGAAGCGAAAGCGUGGGGAGCGAACAGG
rnacentral:rRNA from 1 species